rnacentral:rRNA from 1 species
GUCUGCAACUCGACUGCACGAAGCUGGAAUCGCUAGUAAUCGCGGAUCAGCACGCCGCGGUGAAUACGUUCCCGGGCCUUGUACACACCGCCCGUCACACCAUGGAAGUCUGCAAUGCCCGAAGCCGGUGGCCUAACCACUUAUGUGGAAGGAGCCGUCUAAGGCAGGGCAGAUGACUGGGGUGAAGUCGUAACAAGGUACC